rnacentral:rRNA from 1 species
GACUAACGCUGGCGGCGUGCCUAACACAUGCAAGUCGAACGGGGUAGCAAUACCCAGUGGCAGACGGGUGAGUAACACGUGGUCAACCUACCUCUGUGUGGGGGAUAACUAGCCGAAAGGUUAGCUAAUACCGCAUACGAUCGUUUGAGGGCAUCUUCGAACGAUGAAAGGAGCAAUCCGCACGGAGAGGGGACUGCGUCCCAUUAGUUAGUUGGUAGGGUAACGGCUUACCAAGACUCCGAUGGGUAGCUGGCUUGAGAGAGCGACCAG